GCCACAAAGAAUACCAGUUCCUAUAAGACUGGCUGUCUGGGAUGACACUUGGUUCAAGUAUUCUGAAACCUAUCAGAUGCUCAAACAAAACCAUCAAUACCCCUUGGUUAACGAGAUAAGAUUACUGCAAGCAAAUUAGUCAAGGAUAUAUUGCAGCUAUUUGCCAACGAGGCCUUGACUUUAUCAGGUAAAUCUGAUAUGUGAGCCUGCGGGAUUAGAGAUGAAAUUACUCAUGGAAGAAGCUGGCAUUUCAAGGAAAAUAACAUGUGCUCUCUGAGAACCUCUUAAAGUUUGGCCAGAAGUUCUUACCAACCCUCUGUGCUGGCUGAAUGCCUAAUUUCUGGAGAAUUCAAACAUGUUAAAGACAUUCCAAACCCAUGAUUGUCAAGAAACUCUCAAAUGAGGAUGGAUGGCCAGAGACAUUGUGAAAGCAGAAGGAGAGGAACAUGAUAACCGGGCAUUGAUCUCUUUCUGGUAUCCUGAAGUUUGUCAUGAUGCAGUCAGAACAAACGUCUCUCAACAGUAUGUCCAGUAGCCUUUCUCUCACUCU